AUCGCUUCUCGGCCUUUUGGCUAAGAUCAAGUGUAGUAUCUGUUCUUAUCAGUUUAAUAUCUGAAAAGUGCCCUACCCGGGCACCAUAUAUUAAAUUGCUUUUUGGAGCUGGGAGAUGGAAUCAGUCCGUCAAGGGUGUCCGUUAUCUCCGCUUGUAUGUGGUUUGCAUCGAACCACUGGCACAGCUCUU